AUGACCAAAUCGAAGGAAGGUGAAGACGACAUUGACAAAGUUCUUGGAAUUCCCAUCAUGAAAUUUUCAUAUGUUGACUUGCAAGUUGCAACAGAGGAUUUCAAGGAAGAACUUGGAAGUGGAGGCUUCGGUUCUGUGAUCAAUGGAGUUAUGGCAGAUAGCACAAUGAUUGCAGUGAAGCGGUUGGAUAACAGGGGCCAGGGGAUGAGGGCGUUCCUAGUUGAAAUUGAUACAAUUGGGAGACUUCACCAUUUUAACCUCGUAAGGUUGAUCAGAUUUUGUGCAUAA
rnacentral:lncRNA from 1 species